GACGAACGCUGGCGGUGUGCUUAACACAUGCAAGUCGAACGGAUCACAUGAUUUCGGUUGUGUGGUGAGUGGCGAACGGGUGAGUAACACGUGAGUAACCUGCCCCCUUCUCUGGGAUAACUGUUGGAAACGGCGGCUAAUACCGGAUAUUCACUUUCUCUCGCAUGGGGGUUGGUGGAAAGUUUUUUCGGUGGGGGAUGGGCUCGCGGCCUAUCAGCUUGUUGGUGGGGUAGUGGCCUACCAAGGCUUUGACGGGUAGCCGGUCUGAGAGGAUGGUCAGCCGGAUUGGGACUGAGACACGGCCCAGACUCCUACGGGGGCAGCAAUUAGGAAUCUUGCGCAAUGGGGGAAACCCUGACGCAGCGACGCCGCGUGAAUGAAGAAGUCCUUCGGAUGUAAAGUUCUGUUCUAUGGGAAGGAAGGACGAGUAGACGGUACCCGACUAGAGAAAGACCCGGCCGUAACUACGUAGCCAGCAGCCGCGGUAAACGUACACGUCG
rnacentral:rRNA from 1 species